rnacentral:rRNA from 1 species
AUUGAACGCUGGCGGCAGGCCUAACACAUGCAAGUCGAGUGGAUGACGGGAGCUUGCUCCUUGAUUCAGCGGCGGACGGGUGAGUAAUGCCUAGGAAUCUGCCUGGUAGUGGGGGACAACGUUUCGAAAGGAACGCUAAUACCGCAUACGUCCUACGGGAGAAAGCAGGGGACCUUCGGGCCUUGCGCUAUCAGAUGAGCCUAGGUCGGAUUAGCUAGUAGGUGAGGUAAUGGCUCACCUAGGCGACGAUCCGUAACUGGUCUGAGAGGAUGAUCAGUCACACUGGAACUGAGACACGGUCCAGACUCCUACGGGAGGCAGCAGUGGGGAAUAUUGGACAAUGGGCGAAAGCCUGAUCCAGCCAUGCCGCGUGUGUGAAGAAGGUCUUCGGAUUGUAAAGCACUUUAAGUUGGGAGGAAGGGCAGUAAGUUAAUACCUUGCUGUUUUGACGUUACCGACAGAAUAAGCACCGGCUAACUCUGUGCCAGCAGCCGCAGUAAGAC